GGGGGGGGGGUUAGGGAGAGCGAGGAGGUUUUUAGAGAAUGAUGGAGGGAGGACUGGGAGAAUGAUGGAGGGAGGACUAGGAGAAUGAUGGAGGGAGGACUAGGAGAAUGAUGGAGGGAGGACUAGGAGGAUGAUGGAGGGAGGACUAGGAGAAUGAUGGAGGGAGGACUAGGAGAAUGAUGGAGGGAGGACUAAUAGAAUGAUGGAGGGAGGACUAGGAGAAUGAUGGAGGGAGGACUAGGAGAUUGAUGGAGGGAGGACUAGGAGAAUGAUGGAGGGAGAACUAGGAGAAUGAUGGAGGGACUAGGAGAAUGAUGGAGGGAGGACUAGGAGAAUGAUGGAGGGAGGACUAGGAGAAUGAUGGAGGGAGGACUAGGAGAAUGAUGGAUGGAGGACUAGAGGAUGAUGGAGGGAGGACUAGGAGAAUAAUGGAGGGAGGACUAGGAGAAUGAUGGAGGGAGAACUAGGAGAAUGAUGGAGGGAGGACUAGGAGAAUGAUGGAGGGAGAACUAGGAGAAUGAUGGAGGGAGAACUAGGAGAAUGAUGGAGGGAGGACUAGGAGAAUGAUGGAGGGAGGACUAGGAGAAUGAUGGAGGGAGGAAUAGGAGAAUGAUGGAGGGAGGACUAGGAGAAUGAUGGAGGGAGGACUAGGAGAAUGAUGGAGGGAGGACUAGGAGAAUGAUGGAGGGAGGACUAGGAGAAUGAUGGAGGGAGGACUAGGAGAAUGAUGGAGGGAGAACUAGGAGAAUGAUGGAGGGAGGACUAGGAGAAUGAUGGAGGGAGGAAUAGGAGAAUGAUGGAGGGAGGACUAGGAGAAUGAUGGAGGGAGGACUAGGAGAAUGAUGGAGGGAGGACUAGGAGAAUGAUGGAGGGAUGACUAGGAGAAUGAUGGAGGGAGAACUAGGUGAUGGAGGGAGGACUAGGUGAAUGAUGGAGGGAGGACUAGGAGAAUGAUGGAGGGAGAACUAGGAGAAUGAUGGAGGGAGGACUAGGAGAAUGAUGGAGGGAGGACUAGGAGAAUGAUGGAGGGAGGACUAGGAGAAUGAUGGAGGGAGGACUAGGAGAAUGAUGGAGGGAGAACUAGGAGAAUGAUGGAGGGAGGACUAGGAGAAUGAUGGAGGGAGAACUAGGAGGAUGAUGGAGGGAGAACUAGGAGAAUGAUGGAGGGAGGACUAGGAGAAUGAUGGAGGGUUGACUAUGAGAAUCAUGGAGGGAGGACUAGAAGAAUGAUGGAGGGAGGACUAGGAGAAUGAUGGAGGGAGGACUAGGAGAAUGAUGGAGGGAGGACUAGGAGAAUGAUGGAGGGAGGACUAGGAGAAUGAUGGAGGGAGGACUAGGAGAAUGAUGGAUGGAGGACUAGGAGAAUGAUGGAGGGAGGACUAGGAGAAUGAUGGAGGGAGGACUAGGAGAAUGAUGGAUGGAGGACUAGGAGAAUGAUGGAGGGAGGACUAGGAGAAUGAUGGAGGGAGGACUAGGAGAAUGAUGGAGGGAGAACUAGGAGAAUGAUGGAGGGAG
ensembl:lncRNA